rnacentral:tRNA from 1 species
ACACCUGUAGUUUAAUGGAUAAAACGUGGUCCUCCGGAGACCAAACUAGGAGUUCGAUUCUCCUCAGGUGUG